UACGUAGGGUGCGAGCGUUUGUCCGGAAUUAUUGGGCGUAAAGGGCUCGUAGGCGGUUUGUCGCGUCGGGAGUGAAAGCCCGGGGCUUAACUCCGGGUCUGCAUUCGAUACGGGCAGGCUAGAGUUCGGUAGGGGAGAUCGGAAUUCCUGGUGUAGCGGUGAAAUGCGCAGAUAUCAGGAGGAACACCGGUGGCGAAGGCGGAUCUCUGGGCCGAUACUGACGCUGAGGAGCGAAAGCGUGGGGAGCGAACAGG
rnacentral:rRNA from 1 species